AUUGAACGCUGGCGGCAUGCUUUACACAUGCAAGUCGAACGGUAACAGGUUAAGCUGACGAGUGGCGAACGGGUGAGUAAUGCAUCGGAACGUGCCCGGUCGUGGGGGAUAACAAUUCGAAAGAAGUGCUAAUACCGCAUACGAACUGAGGAUGAAAGCGGGGGACCGUAAGGCCUCGCGCGAUCGGAGCGGCCGAUGUCAGAUUAGGUAGUGGGUGGGGUAAAGGCUCACCAAGCCGACGAUCUGUAGCUGGUCUGAGAGGAGGACCAUGCACCCUCGGACUGAGACACGGCCCAGACUCCUACGGGAGGCAGCAGUGGGGAAUUUUGGACAAUGGGCGCAAGCCUGAUCCAGCAAUGCCGCGUGCAGGAAGAAGGCCUUCGGGUUGUAAACUGCUUUUGUACGGAGCGAAAAGGCUCUCUCUAAUACAGGGGGCUCAUGACGGUACCGUAAUAAUAAGCACCGGCUAACUACGUGCCAGCCGCCACGGUAA
rnacentral:rRNA from 1 species